GAAUCUUCCACAAUGCGCGAAAGCGUGACGGAGCAAUGCCGCGUGCAGGAUGAAGCUCUUCGGAGUGUAAACUGCUGUCAGGCCCCAGGAAGCUCUGAUCAGGACCAAAGGAAGGGUCGGCUAACUUCGUGCCAGCAGCCGCGGUAAUACGAAGGACCCGAGCGUUAAUCGGAAUCACUGGGCUUAAAGCGUACGCAGGCGGACAUGCAGGCGCUUUGUGAAAUCCCUCGGCUCAACCGAGGAAUUGCUUGGCGAACCGCAUGUCUUGAGACAAGUAGAGGCCGUCGGAACGAUAGGUGGAGCGGUGAAAUGCGUAGAUAUCUAUCGGAACGCCGAAGGUGAAAACAGGCGGCUGGGCCUGUUCUGACGCUGAGGUACGAAAGCGUGGGGAGCGAAC
rnacentral:rRNA from 1 species